GUGCUCACUUCGGCAGCACAUGUACUAAAAUUGGAAUGAUACAGAGAGGAUUAGCUUGGCCCUGCUCAAGGAUGACACGCAAAUUUGUGAAGUGUUCCAUAUUUAA
ensembl:snRNA U6 U6 spliceosomal RNA